GGGGUUGUGGCUCAGUGGCAGAGCACUUACCUAGCAUGUGUGAGGCACUGGGUUCAAUUCUCAGCACCA
rnacentral:tRNA from 1 species